GGGGCUGUGGCGCAAUUGGUAGCGCGUGAGACUCCAGAUCUCAAGGUUGCCCGAUCGAGACGGACCAGCCUCA
rnacentral:tRNA from 1 species